rnacentral:rRNA from 1 species
UACGGGGGGGGCAAGCGUUGUUCGGAAUUACUGGGCGUAAAGGGCUCGUAGGCGGCCAACUAAGUCGGACGUGAAAUCCCCAGGCUCAACCUGGGAACUGCGUCCGAUACUGGAUGGCUUGAAUCCGGGAGAGGGAUGCAGAAUUCCAGGUGUAGCGGUGAAAUGCGUAGAUAUCUGGAGGAACACCGGUGGCGAAGGCGGAUCUCUGGGCCUUACCUGACGCUCAGGUGCGAAAGCUAGGGGAGCAAACGGG